rnacentral:lncRNA from 1 species
AUUAUACUCUGUUCUUGUUCAUUUACCUUCCUGCUCUUUAUUUUUUAACUUUUCAAUACAAUGAUUGUUUGUAAAUAGUUCUAAAGUUAAGUAACGAUGUGUGAUGUGUUGGUGCCUCUUAGAACUCAGGCUGUUUUCUGUUAUUUUGUAUUCUUUCAAAGUCAGGACUUGGUCCUAGUUCUAAGUGACUGUGGAGAAUCUUUCUUGUUCAGAGCUUGACAAGUGCCUCUUGGGACCAAUAGGUUCUAUAAGUUGGUACACCUGGAUUUUGUGAGACACUUUGGGGACCCAGGGAGCAUUACUGACAGUUUACUGUUACUUUUGAAGGCACUGGGCACCUGCUCUUGACUCCUCCAUUUUAAAGCUGUUGCCUCCUACACAGACCAGUCACUGGUCAUGAGGACACCUGGCUUUGUGGAGGCUGGAGCAUGCUCAGCAUGCUGAGGGUUUCCAGCGGGACAGCUCAGAAGCAGGCUUCCCUGAGGGAAGGUUGAGCUGCUCCUUGGCUGCUCCUUGGCUUGGAUUCUGUCCAGUCUCUUUCUCAUGUGAAUCACUUUCCACAACCUAACACAUUGUAUGUUUUGUUUAACUCCCUUUUUUUGUUGUUCGGCCUUUGGUUUUUGUUAUUAUUAUUUUGUUAUUUUAUUUUUAUUUUUUAUUUUGUUGUUGUUGGGUUUUUUGUUUUUUUUUGUUUUUCUUUCUAGACAGAGUUUCAAAUGACAACGUCCAGGCUGACCUUGAACUUGUUGUGUGGCCCUGGCUAGCCUUUAACUUGUGAUUCUACUGGUUUAUCCUUCUUAGAGCUGGGAUUACAGAUUUGGCCCACUUAUCAGGUUUGCUUUUCCUGCACUAGGACUCAGAUAAAGGCUGAGUGAAUGAAGGCCGAAUAACUGUUAAGGAUUUGCAACAGGUAGAAAGACUUCUUACACCAUUAUCCUUGCAAAUUCACAGCCACAGUUACAUUGCAUUAUUCUGACUUUUUUUAUGCCUACUUGACACAGACUAAUGUCAUCUGAGUGGAAGGAGCCUCAAUUAAGGAAACACCUUCAUAAGAUCAGGUUUAUAGGGGGCUGGAGAGAUGGCUCAGCAGUUAAGAGCAUUGACUGCUCUUUCAGAGAUCCUGACUUCAAUUCCCAAUAACCACAUGGUGGCUCACAACCAUCUGUAAUGGGAUCCAAUGCCUUCUUUUGGUAUGUCUGAAGACAGUGACAGUGCACUCACAUACAUGAAAUAAAUAAUUACUAAAAAAAAAAAAAUCAGGUUAUAGGCAUUUUCUUAAGUUGUUGAUGGGGGAAGAGUCCAGCCCAUUGUGGGUGGGGCCACCCUUGAGCUGGUGGUCCAAGGUUCUAUGAGAAGCAGAAUGAGCAUACCAUGGGGAGCAAGCCAGUAAGCAGCACUCCUCAUGGUCUCUGCACCAGCUCCUGACUCCAUGUACCUACAUUCAUUGCUUCUGAUUAUAAACUGUUCUAUGGAACUACAAGUGAAAUAAACCCUUUCCUCCCCAGGUUGGUUUGGUCAUGGUGUUUCAUCACAGCUAUAGUAACCCUAAGACACUCACAAAGCAAAAGGCUGUAAAUACAUGCUUGUAAGUACAGCUGGGCACAAUGAACUAUGCUUAUCUGGCUUGGGAGAAUCUUUUCUCUGAGUUCCAAGCUACAUGCUAAUUCCUUUAAGAUGAUUUUGGACGUGAUAGGUAGUCAUAUGGUACAGUUAGAUGGUAAGGCCUCUAGAAGGCCCCAAGGAAAGGGGCUGUGGGCACACACCGAAAGCUGCAUCCUUGGGAUGGUGAGUAUCUAUGUCUCAUUUACAGUGCUCUUCUCCACUGAGACACUUAUAACAUCCCUCAGUAUUGAGAAGGGAAAAAUAGUCUUCAGUUUACUCUGUGUUGCUCAGUCAGAUCUAAAGUCGUGAAAGAUACUUCGUGUGUUGAUUACCUAGCUCUAAGAUCUCCAUUCUGUUAGGGCUCAAGGCACGGUAAUUAGCCAACCUCAAAGACUAUCACGUUAGCUUUUCAGAUACUUCCUGUUACUCAUAAUGGGAUCAAUUUCCAUGGACCCAAGCAACAUAUGGAAACACAAACUUUCCCUUGAUACAGACUAAGUAUGGAGAUAGUGGUUUGGAACUUUGAUUCUGCACAUCUGCUGGAUUCAAAUCUAAGUGCAGAUUUUAAGUAGCUGGGGAGAUAUUCGUGUUCAGUUCCUAAGAAUGUUGGGAAGGUGCAGAUUAGAAUUACUUAACAGCCCAUGGCAAGAUGCUUAGCACAAAGUAAAGAUUUAUAAACACUAGCUUUAAAAAACUGUGCUGGCAGAGUUUUCUUCAUUCAAAGAGAAAGGCUUAUGGGGUUUAAUUCUUAAUACCUACUUGGAUGAUGAAGGGAUUGCUGAGUAGAAUAAGAAAGAUAUUGGGAUAAAACCAAAAUUUCUGGGGGAUCAAGCUUUCUGGCGUGUAAGCAUACAUAUAUAUUGGCACAGUCACACACAUUUGAGUGUAUUUUCCCAUUGGCUUAUAUUCACCAUACAUGGUGUUGGAGUAUAUGACAUUUUACAUAUGUAUAUGCUGAACUUUGAACACAUUCCUGCCCUUUCUUAGGUACUUUAAAACAUAUGCAAAUUAGUUGCUGACAGCACCUGCUAUGGAUUAUAUUACAGUAAAGAGUCUUCUGGUAAAGUCAAAGGUCCUUGGUAUAUUCUCUUUUUAAAGAAACUUUGACCCUGGACUACAGGUUUUAGUAUCAUCUGUAGUGAUUACCUAGCUCUGAACUUUAACCUCUGUUAAAACCAGGAGGAGUGCAUUCCCUGACUUUAAGGGAGCAGCUCUGCAUCCUUUUGAAAGCCUUAGAAGGUGUGAGUGUGCUUUCUCAACCUUUCUCACUAGUUUUGAGAUCUAUGGACUUCUAUGAAUUUAUCACUCUAUAUGUGUAGAGGCUCCUGAGUAUUAACUGAGCAGUUUCCUCUAGGGGAAUAUAUGAGAAUAAAGAAGUGGCAAGGCAUUUUAAUAAGAACAUUUACACAUUCUUAUCAAGUUGUCACUAAAGCUAGUUUUAUAAACAGUGAUUUGAGAGGAUAUAGGUGGGCAGAGGUCUCAGGUUAUCUCAAGACUAUAACAUUGGCCCCCAACUGAGCUCCCUUUUUAAAGUUACAAGAGCAGACCUUACAGUCUGUUCAGUUUUACAAGAAUUUUGUUAUCAUUGUAUUGCUCUUCAACAUUUUCUGUUGAUACUUGUGGUUUGGAUAUGAAAACCCCUACAGGAUUCUGUGCUUAAACAUUUGGUCUCAAGCUGGUGAUGUUAUUUUUAGGAGGAUGUGGCCCUCUAAAAGUUUGGGUCUACUUGGAGGAAGUGAAAUGCUGUGCAUAAACCUUGGGGUUUGUAUACUGGCUUCACUUCCUGUGAGAUCACUGCUUCCUGGUCUAAGAUGUGAACAAGCAGCCUUAUACUUCUGUCACCAUGCCUUUAUGAUUAGAAUGCGCUACGUCCCUCCCAACAAAGAGCCAGUAAACCCUUUCUCUCUUAAGUUGCUUCUUGUCAGAUAUUUCCUCCCAGUGAUGAGAAAUGUGAGAGAAGUGACUCAGCAGGUAGGGCAAUUUCCACGAAUGCUGAUGAGCUGAGCUCAGGCUUGGGACCUACAUGGUGGAAGGAGGGAACUGACUUCUAGUUUUCUCUGACUCCACACGUGCAUGGGGCAUUUUCUCUCAUGCAUACAUACAUGCUUGAGUGAUCACAAAUGCAAUGAAUAAAUGUUUGUAAAAAU